rnacentral:rRNA from 1 species
CCUACGGGAGGCUGCAGUGAGGAAUAUUGGUCAAUGGACGAGAGUCUGAACCAGCCAAGUAGCGUGAAGGAUGACUGCCCUAUGGGUUGUAAACUUCUUUUAUAUGGGAAUAAAAUGUUCCACGUGUGGGAUUUUGUAUGUACCAUAUGAAUAAGGAUCGGCUAACUCCGUGCCAGCAGCCGCGGUAAUACGGAGGAUCCGAGCGUUAUCCGGAUUUAUUGGGUUUAAAGGGAGCGUAGGUGGAUUGUUAAGUCAGUUGCGAAAGUUUGCGGCGCAACCGUAAAAUUGCAGUUGAAACUGGCAGUCUUGAGGACAGUAGAGGUGGGCGGAAUUCGUGGUGUAGCGGUGAAAUGCUUAGAUAUCACGAAGAACUCCGAUUGCGAAGGCAGCUCACUGGACUGCAACUGACACUGAGGCUCGAAAGUGUGGGUAUCAAACAGGAUUAGAUACCCGAGUAGUC